AUUAAGAUUUAUGUCAGAAAUCAUGAUUCAGGUACACACCCCCUCACUACUUGUGUUAAUAUGAGGUCUCAAUCACGAUGUAUUCACUAUUCACUCAAGCAAAACUCCCACUGAACUCCGGUUACAUUUUUACUGAACCACAUCAGAGUUUUGCUUAAGGAAGAACAUUGAUCAAGACUCGUUGCUUUAUUAGUGACUAUAUUCUUUAAUUGUUCGUAUUUUCCCUUAGGAUAGGAAACAAACAAACAAACAAAAAAUCUCUCUGUAGAUAAUCACCACUAUUGCACUUAAUUGUGUGAUCGCGGAUAAUACACCCGCCGGAGAAAGUAUAUGCACAUUCGUAUUACACGAAUAAAAAUUCAGCGGUUGGCAAUAAAUAUGUAUAAAUACAUAUAGACACACACAACCCUGCAGAGGUGUCUAUCCAUUGCACUAGAAUCUAUAGUAGAUUCCUCUGCAGUUCUACGCAGUGAAAUGUCCUUGUUUUGAAUACCCCCCCUCCCCUCCCAAUGGUGAAGGUGUCUGGGUAAAUGGGUCAAAAAGUGGUGGAGAAUUGGGUUAGAAAGAGGUGAAGGUGAAGAUCAAUGGAGGCUUUAGGGCUGGCUGUGUGUUUUGCUGGGUUUGUGUGACUGUGCCCAGAGGGCGGAGUUCCUGCACAUUCCUACCUCACCGGAGAACCUGCCCUCAACUCCACUGCAGCUACUCCAGAGAGAUGGGACCCUUCAGAAGAAACCUGCCCAGCAAUCCCAGCAAGCCUUCCCGCCAGAAGGAUUCCAGGAGAAACUGCCUCUACCUGCAAGAAAGGCGCACGUUGGCACUUGGGGAUAGAAGUCCUCCAUCGGCACCGGGUGAGUCGGAUUUUACUCCUCUUUUACCCUCAGGAAUCAAGUAACUACACGCGCGAUUUUUGUCCGCUGGUACCAGGAUGGGAGAGAGCGCGGUUCCAGGAGAUCCCUGAGCCUCCUCUGCCUUUUUUUUGUCACAACGCAGAAAUAUUACGGGGCCAGGCAAAAUUCCCCGCCACUAUUCAUUGCGGGAGGAAAUUUGGUCCUUGAUCCACCUCUGCUAUGUGAAAGACGAUUUUAGUAUGAGUACAGGCGGAUUCCGUAAUGAAUUAUUUCCCAAAAAAUCUAAGCCUGUCAUUUGAGAAAAAGCUACAGGCUUCUCUCACCUUUCGGGAUUGUGUAAAGAAUGCUAAUAUCCCUAAAUUUUCAAGGAAGAGACUAAAUGCCAAAAAUUUCGGGAGAUCGAGGAGAUCGAUAAAGAGCCGUACAUCUAAAUCUGAGCUGGAUUUUGCUCUGAGUGUUCCGGCGGAGAAACUGCUCCCUUACAACCGAUCGCGGGCAACGUUCAUGUUCAUGGGAGAGCUCCAGACACUCUCCCUUUGUCUUCCCACUUCCCAAAUUCCUUAACUGCCUUCUGUACGCGUGGAGAUUUACGUGCCGCAAACCGAAAUCUCGGAAUAGGGGCGGAAGUUUAAACGACUGAUACAACUGAUGUGCUCAGCGUGCUCAUCCUUGCGGGUGGGGGCAGGCGCGCGGGUGCGUGGGCAGGACCCGCGACGGGCCCUCCGUGGACCGACUUGUUCUUGUUUUGCUGUCCCGACGUGGUGCAGGGGAAGAGCCACGGCACGUGUCCCACCCGGCGGAUAACUUUGACCCCUUGCUCCUUGCCAUUUUUGACCUCACGAAAAUAAUUAAUUUUUUUAAUAUACAGCAAGUUGAGUUUUCCGUGACGCUGUGCGUGGGACACCCCAGAGCAGGGGGCAGCGGUACCGAGCGCCUGUCUCCCCCGCAUCGCAGGAACCGGCACCCGCGCACGGGGACGCGCACUCGCACACGCACAGCACACGCCGGCAGUGACUUCUGACAGAUCCGCUGGCGGUUUGUGUCCCCGGCUCAAACCUGCCCGGCGAUGUCCCGUGGGUCCCGCAGGGCACGGGUGGAGCUCCCCACGCUGCGGAGAGCGGCACCCACACUGCCGUGCCUCCAGAACGGCAGGGACCGGCUCUGCCAGACGCUCCUGGUUUCCCGCCCCGGCGCGGCCGCCGUGCCCGGACACGCGUGUCCGCGGGGCGAGGCGGGGGCCUGGCGCGGCGGCGGCGGCGCCGCGCAUCCCGCGGGCUGGGGGCGCUCUUGCCCCGCGGGAGAGCCGCCCCACGGGGCCGCGGGACCCGCCGCACAGCGCCCGGAGCCCCGGGAAACAGCCCUGUUCACCCGCGGCCUCUUCCAAGGCCCGGCAACCCCCUGCCGCCCUUGAAACGGUGGUUUGCAGGCGACGGGCGCCUUUACUCGGAGGGCUUGAGUCCGUGCCGCCUCCCUCCCUUCAGAAAGGAGGAAAAAUAUGAGGUUUCCUUCUCCAUGUAGACUUAGCUUUGUAUUCUCCUAGCCACUAAGAGACGGAGGUUGCUCUAGGAACAGGCGUUUGAAGUCCUCUUCCCAAGAAUUGGCCCAGGAUGCUCCGACCCAGGAUCAGGCUCGCUAAACACUCCUCUCGCUCCACUGAGGCAAAACGAACCAGAAAAGACUUGAAAAACAAAAAUAAAGAAAAUAAAUUAAACUGCCAAAAUAAAUAAAUAACCAAAGAAACGACUAGCAACCUCCCCUCCUCCCCCUCUUCAAUAUCAUGUAACAGAAUAUAGUAUCAGGCUAGCGAAUUGGACUUAAAGCGAGCGGCUUUUCUGCUCUCAGUCGGAGAAAUGAAUGCAAAGUCCAUUUCAAAGAAUUAUCUCUAGGGAGUCCUCCAAGUGUAUUGGGGUUAUCCGUGAUUUGAGAGGAAAGACUAAACGAGAGGGAGUCUGAGAAAAGCCUGCAUUGUCACCCUACCCUAAGGGAGGUAGGAACACGUGAACGGAACCCUUCCACUUCAGAGCGCUCCCGGCAGCUCUCCCUUAACGGCGGAGGAGAAUGGGGUUUGCUGCUGCGACCGGCCCGCGGGGAAGACCUCGCCGAGCUCCCCAUUAACUUGGCGGCCCUCCAAGCUAAGUGUUAGCCCAGCACUGUUGAUCACUGGAGGCAAACAUCGAAUUAAUUGGAUCUCAAUGACUGAGGUCUGCCUCUUUCUAUGAAGAUUCAUUUUCAGGUGUGUCCUCCCUUUCUUUGAAAAUGCCCGUUAGAGUAAAGUGAGGUAUCUGUGGAGGAAGAAGGUGACGUGACGAGAAAAGCCUGACAGCCAAAGAGGGAACUGUCCGGGAGAAGGAUCCGUGAUGAAUGAAGCCUGCGAAGUCCUGAUGCAAAAGCAGAGCAGGACAGUGUGUUGGCAAACCCAAAUACCGGUUUUUGUUCUCUGGAACCAAAAAGGAAAAUGGGGUGGUGAAGGUGGGGUGGAGGAGGGGGGACCCCGGGGAGUGGGGCAGUGGAGAUUGGAAGGGAGAGAUCAGAGAAGUGGCUGUCUGGAGUGUUAUCACGCGUCCAUCGUGUCCUCGGGAGAAGGAAAGGCUGCGUUGUCAAACGGGCUAGACCCUUGACGAGAGCCAGAGGUGCCAUCAGAGCGCUUCGAGAUGCUGCCGUGAAAUCUGGAUCCUGGUCGAUUCAGGGAUCCGAGGGACAGUACUUCAUAAAAUAAUCGGUCCCGAAAUCUCCCGGGCAGGUGUCCGAGGUUAAGUCAGGCUCUUCGAUAAUCGCCGAACAAUCACAGGGAACAAAAUCUGCCCCGGGGCAGGAGAUAGGAUGGGGGAGGCGGAUGCGAAGUGAGAGAGACAGGACGACACGAACUAAAACCCACUAAAAUAGCAAACAUUAUUUCAUUCCUUGGGUAACUUCGUGCAGAUCUGUAGCUUCUUCCUCGGACUUGGCGGGAAAGGCUAUCUUGGACUAACCUGUAACUUCUUGCAAUGUUUUUGACCGUGCACUGUACUGCCAUAAUGCCAAUAAACGCUUUUAACGCGUCUUA